rnacentral:rRNA from 1 species
GGGCCCGCACAAGCGGUGGAGCAUGUGGUUUAAUUCGAUGCAACGCGAAAAACCUUACCAGGCCUUGACAUCCAGAGAACUUACCAGAGAUGGUUCGGUGCCUUCGGGAACUCUGUGACAGGUGUUGCAUGGCUGUCGUCAGCUCGUGUCGUGAGAUGUUGGGUUAAGUCCCGUAACGAGCGCAACCCUUAUCCUUACUUGCCAGCACGUAAUGGUGGGAACUUUAAGGAGACUGCCGGUGACAAACCGGAGGAAGGAGAGGAUGAUGUCAAGUCAUCAUGGCCCUUACGGCCUGGGCCACACACGUGCUACAAUGGUAGGUACAGAGGGAAGCCACCCCGCGAGGGGGAGCGGAUCUACAAAACCUAUCUCAGUUCGGAUCGGAGUCUGCAACUCGACUCCGUGAAGCUGGAAUC